CUUGUCCUGUCUCUGGGCACCACUGAAAAAACCCUGGCUUCCUCCUGUUUGCACUGUCCCUUCAGGUAUUUAUAUUCGUUUAUAUAAAAUCCCCCUUGAGCCUUCUUUUCUCCAGGCUGAACAGUCCCAGCUCUCUCAGCCUCUCCUCAUAGGAGAGAUGCUCCAGUCCCUCAUCACCUCUGUGACCCAUUGCUGGACUCUCUCUAAUAAAUCCAUGUUUCACUUCUACUUGGGGAGCCCAUAACUGGAAACAGUACUCCAGGUGUUGCCUCACCAGUGCUGAGAAGAGAAGGUUCACAUCCCUCCACCUGCUGGCAACACUCCUCCUUAUGCAGCCCAGGAUGCUGUUACCUUUUUUUUUUUUUUUUUUCUCUUUCCUCCCCACAAGGGCAUAUUGCUGGCUCGUCUUCAACUUGGUAUCCACCAGGACCCCUAGGUCCUUUUUCUGAGAAGCUGCCUUCUAGCUGGGCAGCCCACAGCACAUACUGGUGCAUGAGGUUGCGCCUCCCCAGGUGCAGGACUGUGCACUUCUUGUUGAACUUCAUGAAGUUCCUGACAGCCCAUUUCUCCAGCAUUCUUUGUAAAGAAGAUGGUACUUGCUAAUUUGUUUUGCUGAUUUUUGUACCAUUUUUAGGUGUGGCAGAAGGAGAUUUUGUGACAGAUACAUUCUAAUAAGUCUUCAGCAACAACCUUCCCUGAAUGUAGGAAAUAACAUGCACCUCUAACAAAUUCCUGCAAAUCUGUUUGAUUCAGAUCAGUUUUCUACCAUUAAUUGUUUACUAUUUAAACAUUUCUUCAUGCCAGAUGGAAUGCAGUAAGUCUGGAAACUCAAACUAACAGUGAUUGAUUUUCAGAAAACUGACAUAAAGGUUUUGGAGCUAUUUUCUUAGGGUGUCAUCCAGAUAAUUUUAAAAUAUUUGUGGUUUUUUUUUUUAGUUUUUAUUCUUUCAAGUAAAGAGCAUUACAAAUCUGUAUGGUGGAAGAUAUCCAGCACAGAAGAAAAAGUUUGGAAAGAUUGUAAGAAAGUUUGGCACAGUGUAGUUCAGAAUUGCAUUAUAAUCUGCUCUUGGUUGUCAGGAUGUAUUUCCUUUCCAGGACUGGAAGAAAAGCAUUAAAAGGAUCAUAGAAUGGUUUGGGUUGGAAGGGACCUUAAUGAUCAUCUAGUUCCAACCCCCCUGCCAUGGGCAGGGCCACCUCCCACAAGACCAGGUUGCUCAAAGCUCCAUCUAGCCUGGUCUUGAAUGGAGCUUCCAGAACUUCUCUGGGCAACCUGUUCCAGUGCCUCACCACCCACAGUUAAGAAUUUCUUCUUAAUGUCUAAUCUAAAUCUCCCCUCUUUCAGUUUAAAACUGUGACUCCUUGUCCUAUCGCUACACUCCCUGAUAAAGAGUCCCUCCCCAUGUAGGGGCUAGAGCUCCUAGCCCCUCUCAUGUAGGGGAGAGACUCCUCAUGUAGGCCCUAGGGCAUCUAGGUACUGGAAGGUCUCCCCAGAGCCUUCUCUUCUCGUGGCUGAACAACCCCAGCUCUCUCAGCCUGUCUUCAUGGGAGAGGUGUGCCAGCCCUCUGAUCAUCUUUGUGGCCCUCCGCUGGACCCAUUUCAACA
rnacentral:lncRNA from 1 species